GACGAACGCUGGCGGCGUGCUUAACACAUGCAAGUCGAACGGUGAAGCGCCUUCCUUUUUGGUGGGUGUGGAUGAGUGGCGAACGGGUGAGUAACACGUGAGUAACCUGCCCCCUUCUUCUGGAUAACCGCAUGAAAGUGUGGCUAAUACGGGAUAUUCUGGUUCUGUCGCAUGAUGGGUCUGGGAAAGAUAUUGUUUCGGUGGGGGAUGGGCUCGCGGCCUAUCAGCUUGUUGGUGGGGUGAUGGCCUACCAAGGCGGUGACGGGUAGCCGGCCUGAGAGGGUGGACGGUCACACUGGGACUGAGACACGGCCCAGACUCCUACGGGAGGCAGCAGUGGGGAAUAGUGCACAAUGGGCGAAAGCCUGAUGCAGCGACGCCGCGUGAGGGAUGGAGGCCUUCGGGUUGUGAACCUCUUUCGCCAGUGAAGCAGGCCUGCCUCGUUUGUGGGUGGGUUGACGGUAGCUGGAGAAGAAGCGCCGGCUAACUACGUG
rnacentral:rRNA from 1 species